rnacentral:rRNA from 1 species
AGUGAACGCUGGCGGUAGGCCUAACACAUGCAAGUCGAACGGCAGCACAGUAAGAGCUUGCUCUUACGGGUGGCGAGUGGCGGACGGGUGAGGAAUACAUCGGAAUCUACUUUUUCGUGGGGGAUAACGUAGGGAAACUUACGCUAAUACCGCAUACGACCUACGGGUGAAAGCAGGGGAUCUUCGGACCUUGCGCGAUUGAAUGAGCCGAUGUCGGAUUAGCUAGUUGGCGGGGUAAAGGCCCACCAAGGCGACGAUCCGUGGCUGGUCUGAGAGGAUGAUCAGCCACACUGGAACUGAGACACGGUCCAGACUCCUACGGGAGGCAGCUGUGGGGAAUAUUGGACAAUGGGCGCAAGCCUGAUCCAGCCAUACCGCGUGGGUGAAGAAGGCCUUCGGGUUGUAAAGCCCUUUUGUUGGGAAAGAAAAGCAGCAGGUUAAUACCCCGCUGUUCUGACGGUACCCAAAGAAUAAGCACCGGCUAACUUCGUG